AUGAAAUAGACACUUGGCCGUCCGUUGGACUAUUCGGACGGAGUUGACUUAUUUUGGACUGGAUUUUUACUAUUUUCUGACUCUGCUUACUGCCUAAUGUGGAUAUACUAAACCCCCUGUGUUGAGACGCUUGCAUUAUCCGGUGACGUCACCUUGCCACACUCGGUAGGACAGAGUUAUUGAAGGAACCUCGCUUUUAAGAAGACUGGGAUGGUUUAGCGACUGAUUUUGUUUUCGCUACAAAGAUUUCCACCUGGUUAGAAUGCCUGAUAGGAACAAUGGCCAAGAACAAGCUCUGAGGAGUGCCAUCACCAAGGCCCAAGAAGACCUGAUUGCAGAGCCCGAUACACCCUCGUACAUCCUCAAGACAGUCAGACAACAGGAUUUUUAAGCUUGACAUUUCUUCAGUUUUGUUUUAAGUGGAAGAGAAAUUUGAGAAGUUGACCCGUGAGUUGGAUCAGGAGAAUCGUAACGUCAUCAAUCAGUUUGAGAGAAGUCAACAGGAAUCGG